UGUAGGUGCUGCGGCGCGGCCAGGGCGGCCCGGCCCUUACACGGCGCGGAGCGAACCGAGCGACCUCGGCGCUCGGGCCGGAUCCCACGGCCUGUGCGGGUCCGGGCGCCAGGACCCUGGGAAGCCCCUCUGCGCCGUCUGGGACCGUCACGCGUCGGUAUUCCCCCCGCACAGAACCUGUCCAGGCACCGGUAACGGUGUUCGCCAGUGCUCCCUGUGUCUGUCGCUGCCCAGGACCUACGCGACGUUAGCCCUGUAGGAUCCUGUACUGCCAGACCCUCCGACCCGGACAACACUGGAUAGCUACACGUCAGAGUUCCGACUCACAGGGCUGGGUUCUCCCUAGGUUCCCGGCGCCCCCGUGACCCCGGGGCUCACCUGUCACACACAGGUCCCUCAAGGUCCCCCAGUGCUCACCUGUCAACACUGUGCCUGAGUCCCCAGGUCUCACCUGUCACACACUGGUCCCUGUGUCCUCAGGUCUCACCUGCCACACACUGGUCCCUGUGCCCCCCAGGUCUCACCUGUCACACAGUGGUCCUGUGUCCCCGUGCUCACCUGUCAUACACUGGUCCCUGAGUCC